GCACCCCGAGUGGUCGGGACGAUUAUUGGGCCUAAAGCAUCCGUAGCCGGCCUUACAAGUCCUCCGUUAAAUCCAGCUGCUUAACAGAUGGGCUGCGGAGGAUACUAUAAGACUAGGAGGCAGGAGAGGCAAGCGGUACUCAGUGGGUAGGGGUAAAAUCCGUUGAUCCAUUGAAGACCACCAGUGGCGAAGGCGGCUUGCCAGAAUGCGCUCGACGGUGAGGGAUGAAAGCUGGGGGAGCAAACCGG
rnacentral:rRNA from 1 species